rnacentral:rRNA from 1 species
AUUGAACGCUAGCGGGAUGCUUUACACAUGCAAGUCGAACGGAGUGGCGGACGGGUGAGUAAUAUAUCAGAACGUGCCCAGUAGCGGGGGCUAACUACUCGAAAGAGUGGCUAAUCACGCAUACUAUUGAAGCGCCCGAUAUCGGAUUAGCUAGUUGGUGGGGUAACGCCUCACCAAGGCAACGAUCCGUAGCUGGUUUGAGCGGACGACCAGCAACACUGGGACUUAGACACGGCCCAGAUUCCUACGGGAGGCAGCAGUGGGGAAUUUUGGACAAUGGGGGAAACCCUGAUCCAGCCAUCCCGCGUGUAUGAUGAAGGCCUUCGGGUUGUAAAGUACUUUUGGCAGAGAAGCGGUAUCUGCAGAAUAAGCACCGGCUAACUACGUGCCAGCAGCCGCGGUAAUUC